rnacentral:rRNA from 1 species
CAGCCGCCGCGGGAAUACGAAGGGUGCAAGCGUUAAUAGGAAUUACUGGGCGUAAAGCGUGCGUAGGCGGUUUGUUAAGUCUGUUGUGAAAUCCCCGGGCUCAACCUGGGAAUGGCAAUGGAUACUGGCAAGCUGGAGUGUGUCAGAGGAUGGUGGAAUUCCCGGUGUAGCGGUGAAAUGCGUAGAGAUCGGGAGGAACAUCAGUGGCGAAGGCGGCCAUCUGGGACAACACUGACGCUGAGGCACGAAAGCGUGGGGAGCAAACAGGAUUAGAUACCCCCGUAGUCCCUGUCUCUUAUAC